CACACACACACACACACACACACACACACACAGGAAAGCUAGCCCCAGCUUUAACCAGCCACACAGGAAGCAGGGCCACUUUUCCCAUUGCUGACCCGGUGUCUCCGUUGUCUGGACCUGUGAUGUUGACUACCGAAGGCACGCAGACUCAAAGAGCACAGAAAGACAAACCCUGGCUCCCAGUUCUUCUCCUUGGCACCUCCACCAGCAAACCCUAGUACAAAAAGCAUUAACUUUGCUUUUCUCUAAGACCUCAGAACUUAAAUUUGGGUGCUUUCUUAGUUUGAAAGGUGCAGAUUUGUAAACACAUCUCCGUGUCUAGUUUGUGACAACAAGCCCACAUGUUACUUACCAACCCAAUAUAUGUUUAUAACAAUGCAUGUAGCAUUCUUAAGUUCUUCUAUAUAUGUUGAAAUAGAUGUCUGUGUUGUCCCAAACUAGUCAUGCUGUGAUGAUCUGUCACAAAACAAAAGGUGCAAAAAGUAAAACAUGACUAAGGUAAAUCAUUCUUCUAUUUAUAUCUCUUACAUACAUUUAUACAGCCAUCUGUUUGUUUUUUGAAUUUGUCCUUUACAGACCCCCCACAACUGGGUUAAAGUGAAUAAAGUGGCCUGCUGAAUGUAGGAAACAAAAAGGUUACGCCAAAACUCUUUAAACUUUGUUUUUGGAUCUUUUAAGUGGGAUUAUAGAGGCAAAGAAAACACUUGGUAAUGUUUGACACAAUUUCCCGACAUAUCUACGUAUACAGUAUUUUACACUCAGUUAUUAUUUAUUUGACAAACGGGAUUUCCGUUGCUACUUCCCAUCCUUUAUAUCAUGAAAGAAUAUAGUCAGUAAUGCAGAGAUCAGACAAGAAUAUUCUUGCUGACAAUAAUCCCUCUUCCUCAGCCUUUUCUGAGAUACUGUUGAGAGUUUUUGUCUGAAUGCAGCAAUAUUGUGAAACCAAAUAUGUGUGGAUUCAAUGCUCACGGGAGACGGGGGAGGGGAAAACACCUGAAAUCAGAAGGCAGGGACGCAAGAUUCUCAUCACACAACUGCCAACCUUUGACAACAACUUUUCCUCUGAGUUUAUCAACAUCUUACAAGUAUUUUUGUACAGCUUCAGUGAGUGUACAGUCCGUCUGCUUUGUGAAUUUCUACGUCCUGAGUGUGUGAAAUCCAGGCUUGUAUAGUUUACAUCCAGUCGCAACCAUCUACCUUGUUUCCCUGUUUCUGGUGAUAGAAGCACAGCGAAACUCAGAGCUUGACUCGCUAACUGUGUGUGCGUGUGUGUGUGUGUGUGUGUGUGUGUGUGUGUGUGUGUGUGUGUGUGUGACAGAGAGUAAUACUGACCAUGUAUCAUUGAAAGAAUAGAGUUAACAAAAUGGUUUUUCUGCUGUUUUUUUGUUUUUGUUUUCUUAACUAGGCCAGAGCGAAGCACAAACAUCUGGUCAUGUGCACCAGGUGAAGCUCACUCAUUGGCUGAACACACAGAUGUCUAAUUGGCUUUAAUUGGGGCACAACCAGGUGAGAGUCUGUAAUUGACUAAGCACACUUGAAUCUUCUGGGUGGACUGCAUUUUAUUAUAUGGAAAACACAUAUGUGUCAUAUAAAUACAAAAUUCUACUUUUGAAAUGUUUUUUUCCCGUAUGAUGUAAGCGCAGAAUAAAAACUCAGACAUGAGCUGUUGCUACAGGCUCUCCACAGACUUACAGAAAACAAGCACAACGUGUCUGUGUCAUUUGCAGAUACCGAAUCUGACUCAAAAGUGCAGUGCAAUGCCACAAGUGUAAUGGUCUGAAAAGGUUGUUACAUUAGUUUGUCCAUGUAAUUAUUUUCCGUGUAAUACUUCAUACUGAAACUGAAAAAGAGGGGUAGCAAAUUUUGGUUGCAAAAAAAAAAAAAGUUUAAAUGAAUGUUUUCAUGUUUUUCUUUUAUUUGAAGUGGAGGUGUCCUGUCACUGAGGAGACAAAAGCACAAGCAGUUUGUACCUUGUAAAGGUUUCUUUUCUCCCCACUAUUCGAUUGUUUGUGUGUGGGGGGGGGGGGGAACUCGACCACUACCCUUAAACUGUGAAGGAAAGCAUGCAAAACCAUGAAAGGGAAAUAGACUUUACAAAGUGAUUACAGCAUGGUCUGCAAUCCUCUCCUUGCUGCUGGCAGUGCAGCAUGGGUAGUCCUGUGCGUCUAGAGCAACAGAAACCAAAAACACUCUACAAUUUAGAAUAAGAACACACACACACACACACACACACACACACACACACACACACAGUAAAAGACUAGGGCUAGUCUGACAGAUAUCGCUUUGAUUCUUUACAUUUUAAGUUCAGUUUAAUUGACCAUUUUUGUCUGUUUUUUUAAUCCUCUUUCAAGUGUACACAGCUAGGCUUAUUGUGAGGCUUUUUUAAAACAGUUUUUUUUGGUUCAGCCGAGUAAAAAUGCCAUGUAAUGCAAUGUUUUUUUUGACUAAAUGUCAAAUUUCUGCAGAAGAAUUAGCUAUUCGAAGCUUCAAUACAAACAUAAUCUGCAUCGGCCUUUAAAACCUGUCAGUCACAUCCUAGAAAUGCCUAGACACACACACACACACACACACACACAUACACACACACAAAGUAGGUACAUCAGGCAGACCAAUCCGUAUUUUGGUCUCUUCCUUACUUUCUUAUGAGUACAAUGAGCCUGCUAGUUGUUUUUCUCUCAGCUCUGCUUCGUUUGAUUCAAUGACAAAAAACCAGCAGAUUCCACAACAGCUGUGCACAAACCCGAGCGAGGUUCCUCUCCUCUGUUUGUACGAGGACUCUAAUUUCUACUGAGUCAAACUUAAGCACAAGUCUUCAUUUGUGUCUGGGAUCAAAGGAUCUCGCCGGUCUUAUUUAGUUUUCACGAGAUUGAUGCUGUGAGGAGGAGAAGAGUUUACAACAGGACAAACAUCAGGAAUAAAAA